UACGAAGGAUCCAAGCGUUGUCCGGAUUCACUGGGUUUAAAGGGUGCGUAGGUGGGCAAGUAAGUCAGUGGUGAAAUCUCCGGGCUUAACCCGGAAACUGCCAUUGAUACUAUUUGUCUUGAAUACUGUGGAGGUCAGCGGAAUAUGUCAUGUAGCGGUGAAAUGCUUAGAUAUGACAUAGAACACCAAUUGCGAAGGCAGCUGGCUACACAAAUAUUGACACUGAGGCACGAAAGCGUGGGGAUCAAACAGG
rnacentral:rRNA from 1 species